CAGCAGCAGCCACGGGAAAACGGAGGGUGCAAGCGUUAUCCGGAUUUAUUGGGUUUAAAGGGUCCGUAGGCGGAUCUGUAAGUCAGUGGUGAAAUCUCACAGCUUAACUGUGAAACUGCCAUUGAUACUGCAGGUCUUGAGUAAAUUUGAAGUGGCUGGAAUAAGUAGUGUAGCGGUGAAAUGCAUAGAUAUUACUUAGAACACCAAUUGCGAAGGCAGGUCACUAAGAUUUAACUGACGCUGAUGGACGAAAGCGUGGGGAGCGAACAGGAUUAGAUACCCCGGUAGUCCCUGUCUCUUAUAA
rnacentral:rRNA from 1 species